rnacentral:rRNA from 1 species
UACGUAGGGGGCAAGCGUUGGUCCGGAUUUAUUGGGCGUAAAGAGCUCGUAGGCGGCUUGUCGCGUCGAAUGUGAAAUCCUGCGGCUCAACUGCAGGCUUGCAUUCGAUACGGGCAGGCUAGAGUUCGGUAGGGGAGACGUGGAAUUCCUGGUGUAGCGGUGGAAAUGACGCAGAUAUCAGGAGGAACACCGGUGGCGAAGGCGGUUCUCUGGGCAUUACCUGACGCUGAGGAGCGAAAGUGUGGGGAGCGAACAGG